rnacentral:rRNA from 1 species
GGGAAGACCUUCAAGAAGCCAAGGCGUCCGUAUGAGAAGGAGCGUCUUGACGCUGAGCUGAAGCUGGUUGGGGAGUACGGUCUGCGGGCCAAGCGUGAGCUCUACCGUGUGCAGUACGCCCUCAGCCGCAUCCGAAAUGCUGCCAGGGAGCUGCUCACCCUGGAUGAGAAGAACCCCCGCCGUAUCUUUGAGGGUGCAGCGCUCCUCCGCCGCAUGAACCGCUACGGUCUUCUCACUGAGGAACAGAACAAGCUUGAUUAUGUGCUUGCCCUCACUGUUGACAACUUCCUCCAGCGCCGUCUCCAGACCAUCGUCUUCAAGAAUGGCAUGGCCAAGUCAAUCCAUCAUGCUCGUGUCCUUAUCAGACAGCGCCACAUCAGGGUUGGAAAGCAGCUUGUCAACAUUCCUUCUUUCAUGGUGAGGGUGGACACUGAGAAGCACGUCGACUUCUCUCUCACCAGCCCCCUGGGUGGUGGCCAACCUGGAAGAGUGAAGCGGAAGAACCAGAAGAAGGCCUCAGGUGGUGGUGGUGAUGACGGCGAGGAGGAGGAAGACUAA